rnacentral:rRNA from 1 species
UACAGAGGUCUCAAGCGUUGUUCGGAUUCAUUGGGCGUAAAGGGUGCGUAGGCGGCGCGGUAAGUCGGGUGUGAAAUCUUGGAGCUUAACUCCGAAACUGCAUUCGAUACUGCCGUGCUUGAGGACUGGAGAGGAGACUGGAAUUUACGGUGUAGCGGUGAAAUGCGUAGAUAUCGUAAGGAAGACCAGUGGCGAAGGCGGGUCUCUGGACCACAACUGACGCUGAGGCGCGAAAGCUAGGGGAGCAAACAGG